rnacentral:rRNA from 1 species
GUUGACAGCCACGCCACCCUGAACAAGCCCGUCCCAUCUGAUCUCGGAAGCUAAGUAGGGUCUGGCCUGGUUAGUACUUGGAUGGGAGACCAUGUAGGAAGACCAGGUGCUGUAGGUG